rnacentral:rRNA from 1 species
UACAGAGGGUGCGAGCGUUAAUCGGAAUUACUGGGCGUAAAGGGCGCGUAGGCGGCACUGUUAGUCAGGCGUGAAAGUCCUGGGCUCAACCUGGGAACUGCGCUUGAUACGGGCAGGCUAGAGUUCGGUAGGGGAGACUGGAAUUCCUGGUGUAGCGGUGAAAUGCGCAGAUAUCAGGAGGAACACCGGUGGCGAAGGCGGCUCACUGGACCAUUACUGACGCUGAUGCUCGAAAGCUAGGGGAGCAAACAGG